rnacentral:rRNA from 1 species
UACAGAGGUCUCAAGCGUUGUUCGGAUUCAUUGGGCGUAAAGGGUGCGUAGGUGGCGCCGUAAGUCAGGUGUGAAAAUUUCGGAGCUUAACUCCGAAACUGCAUUUGAUACUGCGGUGCUUGAGGACUGGAGAGGAGACUGGAAUUUACGGUGUAGCAGUGAAAUGCGUAGAUAUCGUAAGGAAGACCAGUGGCGAAGGCGGGUCUCUGGACAGUUCCUGACACUGAGGCAACGAAGGCCCAGGGGAGCAAACGGG